rnacentral:rRNA from 1 species
UUAAGUUAUUAAGGGCGCACGGUGGAUGCCUUGGCACUAGAAGCCGAUGAAGGACGUUACUAACGACGAUAUGCUUUGGGGAGCUGUAAGUAAGCUUUGAUCCAGAGAUUUCCGAAUGGGGAAACCCAGCAUGAGUUAUGUCAUGUUAUCGAUAUGUGAAUACAUAGCAUAUCAGAAGGCACACCCGGAGAACUGAAACAUCUUAGUACCCGGAGGAAGAGAAAGAAAAUUCGAUUCCCUUAGUAGCGGCGAGCGAAACGGGAAGAGCCCAAACCAACAAGCUUGCUUGUUGGGGUUGUAGGACACUCUAUACGGAGUUACAAAGGACGACAUUAGACGAAUCAUCUGGAAAGAUGAAUCAAAGAAGGUAAUAAUCCUGUAGUCGAAAAUGUUGUCUCUCUUGAGUGGAUCCUGAGUACGACGGAGCACGUGAAAUUCCGUCGGAAUCUGGGAGGACCAUCUCCUAAGGCUAAAUACUCUCUAGUGACCGAUAGUGAACCAGUACCGUGAGGGAAAGGUGAAAAGCACCCCGGAAGGGGAGUGAAAUAGAACCUGAAACCGUGUGCUUACAAGUAGUCAGAGCCCGUUAAUGGGUGAUGGCGUGCCUUUUGUAGAAUGAACCGGCGAGUUACGAUUUGAUGCAAGGUUAAGCAGUAAAUGUGGAGCCGUAGCGAAAGCGAGUCUGAAUAGGGCGUUUAGUAUUUGGUCGUAGACCCGAAACCAGGUGAUCUACCCUUGGUCAGGUUGAAGUUCAGGUAACACUGAAUGGAGGACCGAACCGACUUACGUUGAAAAGUGAGCGGAUGAACUGAGGGUAGCGGAGAAAUUCCAAUCGAACCUGGAGAUAGCUGGUUCUCUCCGAAAUAGCUUUAGGGCUAGCCUCAAGUGAUGAUUAUUGGAGGUAGAGCACUGUUUGGACGAGGGGCCCCUCUCGGGUUACCGAAUUCAGACAAACUCCGAAUGCCAAUUAAUUUAACUUGGGAGUCAGAACAUGGGUGAUAAGGUCCGUGUUCGAAAGGGAAACAGCCCAGACCACCAGCUAAGGUCCCAAAAUAUAUGUUAAGUGGAAAAGGAUGUGGCGUUGCCCAGACAACUAGGAUGUUGGCUUAGAAGCAGCCAUCAUUUAAAGAGUGCGUAAUAGCUCACUAGUCGAGUGACACUGCGCCGAAAAUGUACCGGGGCUAAACAUAUUACCGAAGCUGUGGAUUGUCCUUUGGACAAUGGUAGGAGAGCGUUCUAAGGGCGUUGAAGCAUGAUCGUAAGGACAUGUGGAGCGCUUAGAAGUGAGAAUGCCGGUGUGAGUAGCGAAAGACGGGUGAGAAUCCCGUCCACCGAUUGACUAAGGUUUCCAGAGGAAGGCUCGUCCGCUCUGGGUUAGUCGGGUCCUAAGCUGAGGCCGACAGGCGUAGGCGAUGGAUAACAGGUUGAUAUUCCUGUACCACCUAUAAUCGUUUUAAUCGAUGGGGGGACGCAGUAGGAUAGGCGAAGCGUGCGAUUGGAUUGCACGUCUAAGCAGUAAGGCUGAGUAUUAGGCAAAUCCGGUUCCUCGUUAAGGCUGAGCUGUGAUGGGGAGAAGACAUUGUGUCUUCGAGUCGUUGAUUUCACACUGCCGAGAAAAGCCUCUAGAUAGAAAAUAGGUGCCCGUACCGCAAACCGACACAGGUAGUCAAGAUGAGAAUUCUAAGGUGAGCGAGCGAACUCUCGUUAAGGAACUCGGCAAAAUGACCCCGUAACUUCGGGAGAAGGGGUGCUCUUUAGGGUUAACGCCCAGAAGAGCCGCAGUGAAUAGGCCCAAGCGACUGUUUAUCAAAAACACAGGUCUCUGCUAAACCGUAAGGUGAUGUAUAGGGGCUGACGCCUGCCCGGUGCUGGAAGGUUAAGAGGAGUGGUUAGCUUCUGCGAAGCUACGAAUCGAAGCCCCAGUAAACGGCGGCCGUAACUAUAACGGUCCUAAGGUAGCGAAAUUCCUUGUCGGGUAAGUUCCGACCCGCACGAAAGGCGUAACGAUUUGGGCACUGUCUCAACGAGAGACUCGGUGAAAUCAUAGUACCUGUGAAGAUGCAGGUUACCCGCGACAGGACGGAAAGACCCCGUGGAGCUUUACUGUAGCCUGAUAUUGAAAUUCGGCACAGCUUGUACAGGAUAGGUAGGAGCCUUUGAAACGUGAGCGCUAGCUUACGUGGAGGCGCUGGAGGGAAACUACCCUAGCUGUGUUGGCUUUCUAACCCGCACCACUUAUCGUGGUGGGAGACAGUGUCAGGCGGGCAGUUUGACUGGGGCGGUCGCCUCCUAAAAGGUAACGGAGGCGCUCAAAGGUUCCCUCAGAAUGGUUGGAAAUCAUUCAUAGAGUGUAAAGGCAUAAGGGAGCUUGACUGUGAGACCUACAAGUCGAGCAGGGUCGAAAGACGGACUUAGUGAUCCGGUGGUUCCGCAUGGAAGGGCCAUCGCUCAACGGAUAAAAGCUACCCCGGGGAUAACAGGCUUAUCUCACCCAAGAGUUCACAUCGACGGGGAGGUUUGGCACCUCGAUGUCGGCUCAUCGCAUCCUGGGGCUGUAGUCGGUCCCAAGGGUUGGGCUGUUCGCCCAUUAAAGCGGUACGCGAGCUGGGUUCAGAACGUCGUGAGACAGUUCGGUCCCUAUCCGUCGUGGGCGUAGGAAAUUUGAGAGGAGCUGUCCUUAGUACGAGAGGACCGGGAUGGACAUACCUCUGGUGUACCAGUUGUCGUGCCAACGGCAUAGCUGGGUAGCUAUGUGUGGACGGGAUAAGUGCUGAAAGCAUCUAAGCAUGAAGCCCCCCUCAAGAUGAGAUUUCCCAACUUCGGUUAUAAGAUCCCUCAAAGAUGAUGAGGUUAAUAGGUUCGAGGUGGAAGCAUGGUGACAUGUGGAGCUGACGAAUACUAAUCGAUCGAAGACUUAAUCAA